CCUACGGGUGGCAGCAGUGAGGAAUAUUGGUCAAUGGGCUUACGCCUGAACCAGCCAAGUCGCGUGAGGGAAGACUGCCCUAUGGGUUGUAAACCUCUUUUGUCAGGGAGCAAAGCCGGCUACGAGUAGCCGGACUGAGAGUACCUGAAGAAAAAGCAUCGGCAAACUCCGUGCCAGCAGCGGCGGUAAUACGGUGGAUGCGAGCGUUAUCCGGAGUGAUUGGGUUUAAAGGGUGCGUAGGUGGAAUGCCAAGUCAGCGGUAAAAGCGCGGGGCUCAACCUCGCUCCGCCGUUGAAACUGGCGUUCUUGAGUGGGCGAGAAGUAUGCGGAAUGCGUGGUGUAGCGGUGAAAUGCAUAGAUAUCACGCAGAACUCCGAUUGCGAAGGCAGCAUACCGGCGCCCAACUGACGCUGAAGCACGAAAGCGUGGGUAUCGAACAGGAUUAGAUACCCUUGUAGUC
rnacentral:rRNA from 1 species